UGGAAGAACUUUGAGCUAACUCAAGAGAACAGAAACAUAUUUUUGCAGCAUUUAAGACAGUCUGACAGCCAAUUACCAUCAUCUUUUCUAUACUAAAAGUACUUUGUACACAGCCCAAGUUGUAGUUUUUGGACUUUUUAAAGAAGAGGGCUAUUUUUCUGGACUGUGAUUUCCAGCAAUAUUUCCUUGUCUGCUUUUGUCGAUGUGUUGUUUUUAACAGGCUCACCCAUGGGGCUCUUGUACUCCUGCAAGCCUCGUAGCCUGUGCUUACCAACUGAGGAGGAAUGCAGAGCAGAAGACUACAACAGGAGACAUUGGGUGGACCGCUGUUGUGACAUGUGCUGCCAGAUGUGUGUGUAUAUGUUCGCUGGUGUGUGCAAUAGGGACUGCAGCUACACAUUUUGCACUCAUUGCCUCGGCCUGGCUCAAAACUGUAUCGCAAUUUUCUCUGGACAAAAAGCAGCAACAAUAGCAGUGCCUGGGAGGGAUCCUGAGGAGUGUGUGUAGAGAAAUCCAACCAUUUAAGUGCACUGAAGUGAGACCCCUCAUCGACACAAGACUUGGAGUUGACCCAUUUUCUUCGCUGGUCACAAGAAGCCUUUGUAAUUAACGGUGAAGCGUUUUUUGGCGAAUAGAGGAGUCAUUCUUUCAAGAGGGGGGAGGCAACUAUGGGCCUCAAGUAGGGUGCAUCUUGGACAGUAGAACAUUUGUCAAGGGAUAACACUUUCACAUUCACAAUUUAACAUUUUGACUGUGAAAUAAAACUUGAUUUAACUGAAGAGCUUAUAAUAAGUUGCAUCACAUGACAUCAUUUUCCCAAAAGCUUAAUGGAGCACUGCGUAACAUUUCUAGUGGAGGGUCUAUAUGGAGAUAUAAAUAUUAACAAUUUACAAUAACAUGGCCAAGAGGCACAACUCCACUCAAAGAUUAACAGAAUGUUUCUAUUUUUAUUCUCUCUAAUAUCGUUUUAUGUAAACUAUCAGGUGAAAAGUGUCAGUAACGCCAUGGUACAAAUACCUUUUUAUACAGAAUUAUUUGUAUAGUUGUGUUUUAAUAAAAGGUCUUCAAAUCUAA